GCUGACACGAAAUGGCGAGACAGAGUCCUGAGCGGCCCCAGAAGCAGGAAAAACGUGCCCCCUGAAGACGCAGGAAGCUGUUAUGGAAGGAGGUAUGGUUCCAAGAGAGUCGGAGGCGUCCACGUUCAGCCCUCGGCUCUGCCUCAUUUGCCGUCUCAGGGGCUCAGCUCCCUGGGCUGGGGGCGACCGGUCCCUCCUGCAGGGUGUCCUGAGGAGACAGGGUGAUGGGAGACGUUCGCAGAGGACCCGGCACAUAGCAGUCUGUUACAGAAUCUGCUCAGUGAGGAAGGGAAGAGAAACCGAGCCGGUCGGGCCUCCUCCUCGGAACCUUUGUGAGGCCAGCUGGCCGGAGGGAAGCGGCCUUAGGUUGGGGGCGAUGCCGGGGCCCCAGCAGCUCCAAGAGCAGGCAGAACCCUGUUCUUGGAGAAGUUCGCGUUCCGCUGCGAAGCUCAGCUGCCAGGUCCACCGAAUGUGCGGACGUUAGAAGUCGCACAAGAGGGGUGCCUGGGUGGCGCAGUCGGUUAAGCAUCCGACUUCAGCCAGGUCACGAUC